CACAGCAUAUCAGCUGCAGUAGACAAAGCUCCCUUGGGACUUGGGGAGGCUUGGAGUGGCAGCCUGCUGAGGAGGGAUGUGGGAAUGGUAUUCAAGAGACCCUGAGAGCCCAGAACAUCAUGUGGUGGCUACAGAAGUGAAUGUGAAUAUCCUGACUCAGAUGCUGGCACCAAGAGGUUACUUCCUGAUUCUGCAGAGGGUCUCACUAUGUAAACAGGGUGGCCAGAAUUCUCUUGGUUCAGCCUCUGCAUGUUGGUGUUAGAAGGCUUGUGUCCACUACGCUCACCUGUUACAAUUAUUCUCAAGUUUGACUUUUCCAAAGGGUCUCAUGCAGGGUGAGCAAGCUCUCUUGAAGGCUGCAACCUGUCUUCCACAUAUGUUUAGUAGCAGCCACGGAGCAUGGGGUGAGAAGUCGCUGGAAGGACAAGUUGACAGAUAGGACUUGGGUCGCUGGGUCACUGCGAGGCGUCGUGAUCUGGACUCAGACAGAGCGAUUUCCUCGGUGAUUUUAAUCUUUUCGUCUGUUCACACGUCAUGCCACCUGGACAUAAUGCAGAGAAAUCUGGAGGCUUAACAAAGUUUUCCCCUUGCCCUAAAGCUCACCCAGGGAAUAGGGGAGGAGGGAAGAAAGAGAAUUAACCCUUUCCCUGCCUUCCUCAGUCAGGGUAGCAAACCUGGCCUCACCUUCCUGACAAUUCCAGGUCUCUGAAUAAUGAGGUCCUUGUCUUUAUGGACUCUGUAAAUAAUUUAAGUUGCCCCCUUUGCUGCCGAAGGAACAUGUAAGUGGAGGCUUUAUCGCUUUUGGGCUGACUCUCUGCCCAGAUUUCGAUUGACUUUCAAAUCUCUUAUUGUAGAUUCUCAAAAAAAAAAAAUUAUUUUGGUGUUGGAGGUGGGGUGCAAGGAGAAAGGACGUUGAGGAAAAGGACUACCACAAAGGAAAAUAUUAAUAUCUUCUCCAUCACUGUGGCCAAACAGUUUGCUUGUCUGACUUCCCCAUAAGGUUUGAGCUAUUUCUGACCGAGAGUGUUGAUGCUUAGAAUUAGCAGAUUUCAAUGAAGUGGAUGUCAGCAUUCCAGAAAAAUGAUUCCUCAGAAUUUGUUGGAGCUAGGUAUGAGGUAAGAGCUAAGAGAGAGCUGAGUGGGUCAUGUGAGGAAGAGGUGCUCCUCUUCCAGGUCUCACCUGAGGAUAGAGGUAGAAAGAGAAAGGCCACUGUGGGGAUGCCUAAAAUCUGGGCAUUUACAGGAAAAUGGCUGGACCGGGGACCAUUCAGUGAAACAAGCCAGACUUGGAAAGAAAACCUCAUUUUUUCUCUCAUAUGCAGAAUCUGGAUUUAAUUUUAUAGAUACUUGUUUCUAUAUCUACCUACAUGUUGAGGGGGGUCUCAGUGGAGGAGGCGGAACAAGAGAGGGAGUGAAAUAUAUGUAACAGGAAAGCAGAAAAGGGGUUAUUUAGGAGAGGAAGAGGAGGGUAAUGUAUACAUGUGGGGGUCAGGGGGAUGAGAACAAUGUAAUAAUAUGUAUAUAGGAAAAAAUCCUAGUGAGACCUAAUGUUCUUCACAAAAACAUUACAUGGCAUUAAACGGUGGAGCAGCUCCUAUCCAUCUUCCCAAGAACGGCUACCAUGCUUCUGGUCCCACACUUGUUAACUUGUCUUAGUUAUCUACUUGGAUGUCAGUGCCAGGCUAUAAAAUUCAUAGAGAGUCUGUCUGUCCAUCACAUCCCCAAUGUGUCUGAGUGAUAGUGAAGUAUUUAAAAUAUCCACUUAUUUACCCAGCAUGGUCUGAGCACCUACCAUUGCCAGGUACAAACCAGACAAAAAAGGAUGAAAUGAGCAGAAAAUUAGGAUCUACAUUCCCAAGUUGCUCCCAUCCUCAUAGGGGAGACGGACAAGAAAAAGAAGAUAAGAACAGUAAAUUUGUCUGCAGAUGCAAUCGUGGUGCAUAAGCUCCCAGGGGAAUAUGGAGGAGCCUAUUCUACUGGAAAGACUAGGAAUGAACUAAGAAGGCAUGCAGUAUAAACUGGAACCCAUGCAAGCCUGUCAAGAAAACACCACAGCAGCAUCUGAUCAGAGGCAGUACCCUCUCCAAGGGUGAGAGGGGACAGUCUGGAGAAGAGGGGGAAAGGCUCCCCAGAGCUUGCCAUCACAGUAUACAGCCCCGGGGGAUUAGAAGGGAGAAAUUCCCUCCUUGUUCCUGGCAUUAGCGAUUGAGUUCUUAUUGGUAUGAUGCACCAAUGUGGAGAAAGUAAGAAAGAAAGGAGGCCAUAUUAGACGCCAUGGUGUUCUGGAUGUGUUAAUUAUUCACAGUUACCAAUUUAACACUGCUGGCUUAAGUUGUUCCCAUUGCUUGGCUUUGAGUAGAUGAUGCUUAUCGUGCAGCCAAUUGACAUAACUACAUUUAAUUAAGGUGGACCUGGAAGUGUGGCUCAAGUUCUGAUACUGAAAGUCUUCUACUUUGCAGUGUGUCACCUCUGCGUGGAGCACAGGUGAAUGUCCCUCUCCCAGCAUGGACCGCAUGGGUCAUGAGAUAUGAAUGAGAUCACGUAGCUAAAGGCUACUCAGAAGUGGGUAGUGAGAUAGUGCUAUGGGAUGUCCUUCCGUACGCUGUGCUUAUGUGUUGCUCUCAUUGGUUGAUGAAUAAAGCUGCUUUGGCCUAUGGCAAGGCAGGUGGGAAAUCCAGGCAGAGGUACAGAACAAAACGGGUAAAGUCUGGCAGACACCAUCCACCUGCCCAAGGAGCAAAAUGCCAGUAGCCCGAUAACUCCACAGC